rnacentral:rRNA from 1 species
UAACAAGGAUUCCCUUAGUAACUGCGAGUGAACCGGGAUGAGCUCAAAUUUAAAAUCUGGCGGUUUUACCGUCCGAGUUGUAAUCUGGAGAAGCGUUUUCCGCGUCGGACCGUGUACAAGUCUCUUGGAACAGAGCGUCAUAGAGGGUGAGAAUCCCGUCCAUGACACGGACUCCCGAUGCUUUGUGAUACGCUCUCAAAGAGUCGAGUUGUUUGGGAAUGCAGCUCAAAAUGGGUGGUAAAUUCCAUCUAAAGCUAAAUAUUGGCGAGAGACCGAUAGCGAACAAGUACCGUGAGGGAAAGAUGAAAAGCACUUUGGAAAGAGAGUUAAACAGUACGUGAAAUUGUUGAAAGGGAAACGCUUGAAGUCAGUCGCGUCGUAUAGAGCUCAGCCUUGCUUCUGCUUGGUGUAUUCUCUGUGUCGACGGGUCAACGUCAAUUUCAGCCGGUGGAAAAGGGCCUGAGGAAUGUAGCGUCGUUUCGGCGACGUGUUAUAGCCUUGGGUCGUAUGCAUCGGCCGGGAUUGAGGACCGCAGCACGCCCUUGUGGCCGGGGUUCGCCCACGUUUGUGCUUAGGAUGUUGGCAAAAUGGCUUUAAGCGACCCGUCUUGAAACACGGACCAAGGAGUCUAACAUGCCUGCGAGUGUUCGGGUGGAAAACCCUUGCGCGUAAUGAAAGUGAAAGUUGGGAUCCCUCGCAAGGGGGUGCACCGACGCCCGGCCCUGACGUUCUCUGACGGUGCUGCGGUAGAGCAUGUAUGUUGGGACCCGAAAGAUGGUGAACUAUGCCUGAAUAGGGUGAAGCCAGAGGAAACUCUGGUGGAGGCUCGUAGCGAUUCUGACGUGCAAAUCGAUCGUCAAAUUUGGG